rnacentral:rRNA from 1 species
GAUAAACGCUGGCGGCGCACAUAAGACAUGCAAGUCGAACGGACUUAACCAUUAGUUUACUAUUGGAGCGGUUAGUGGCGGACUGGUGAGUAACACGUAAGCAACCUGCCUAUCAGAGGGGAACAACAGUUAGAAAUGACUGCUAAUACCGCAUAAGCGCACAGAACCGCAUGGUUCGGUGUGAAAAACUCCGGUGGUAUGAGAUGGACCCGCGUCUGAUUAGGUAGUUGGUGGGGUAACGGCCCACCAAGCCGACGAUCAGUAGCCGACCUGAGAGGGUGACCGGCCACAUUGGGACUGAGACACGGCCCAA